CACGGGUGGGCGGGUUGAACCCGAACAGGACACAAAACCAAAAAAGUGCGGCACAUGACCCCGAACAGACGUACACGACAAAUCUAUUCACGGGUUGACACGAACACGACUAACGGCAGCAGAACUCCAAUCACACCAUGCCAAGCCUUUUCGGUUGUUAAUGGCGGUCAAGAUCCGGGUCUGCAGUCCGGACGCGGAAGCAUUGCCGGGUCGGAUUGUGGAGGGAUGGAGUUUACUAGAGAAGAAGUUGAUGCACUGUUGAAUACUAAGAUCAGAACCAAAGAUAAGUUCAAUCUCAAG